UUUCAGCCAUUUCCUGAAGGCAUUUUCUAUGAAUUUGAAGGCAGGAAGUAUUGUGAGCAUGACUUUCAUGUCCUGUUCGCACCGUGCUGUGGAUCAUGCAACGAGUUCAUCAUCGGUCGGCGUGAUCAAGGCGAUGAACAACAACUGGCAUCGAACUGCUUCAAGUGCGAGCUGUGC